rnacentral:misc_RNA from 1 species
UGCAUGACGCAGUCAAAUUGG